rnacentral:misc_RNA from 1 species
AACUAAAGCACAAUGGAUGGAAAAUGAAAAUGCAUAUUACUCUCUCAAACCCAUCUGUCUUAAAGCAACAGCUUUAUCAAGUCUAUCAAUCUUACAUAACUGCAGAAUCAAAAUAAGAGAAACAUACAAGCAUGGAACCAAGUUCCUAGCCAACAUUGUGUCUUUCUCCCCUUGCAUAACUCUCCUAUAAGAUGGCUAUAGGCAAUGUCAUCAAAGACACAACCCUGCCAAAGCAGCUCAUUCACCAACUUGCGUGCAAUGCAUGUAAAGUCUGUGACAGAUUGGUUUUCAACUAACAUACGACAAAUUUCAGAUCUUAAGUGAGGAUGGAAUACCAGAAUGCUUUCAAGAAGCCCCAAUGCCUUCUUCAGCGUCCUAUGAUUGAAUAGACAUCCAACAAGAGAUUUACAAUCCUGUA